rnacentral:rRNA from 1 species
GAUGAACGCUGGCGGCGUGCUUAACACAUGCAAGUCGAACGAUGAAGCUGGAGCUUGCUCUGGUGGAUUAGUGGCGAACGGGUGAGUAACACGUGAGCAACCUGCCCCUGACUCUGGGAUAACAGCCGGAAACGGCUGCUAAUACCGGAUAUGCACCAUGAACGCAUGUUCUGUGGUGGGAAAGAUUUUUCGGUUGGGGAUGGGCUCGCGGCCUAUCAGCUUGUUGGUGAGGUAAUGGCUCACCAAGGCGUCGACGGGUAGCCGGCCUGAGAGGGUGACCGGCCGCACUGGGACUGAGACACGGCCCAGACUCCUACGGGAGGCAGCAGUGGGGAAUAUUGCACAAUGGGCGAAAGCCUGAUGCAGCAACGCCGCGUGAGGGAUGACGGCCUUCGGGUUGUAAACCUCUUUUAGCAGGGAAGAAGCGAGAGUGACGGUACCUGCAGAAAAAGCGCCGGCUAACUACGUG